rnacentral:rRNA from 1 species
CCUACGGGGGGCAGCAGUGAGGAAUAUUGGUCAAUGGGCGGGAGCCUGAACCAGCCAAGUCGCGUGAGGGAAGACGGUCCUAUGGAUUGUAAACCUCUUUAGGCGGGGAGCAAUGCCGGGCACGCGUGCCCGGAGGGAGAGUACCCGCCGAAUAAGCAUCGGCUAACUCCGUGCCAGCAGCUGCGGUAAUACGGAGGAUGCGAGCGUUAUCCGGAUUUAUGGGGGUAAAGGGGUGCGUAGGCGGAUUUUUAAGUCAGCGGUAAAAUGUCCGGGCUCAACCCGGGCCGGCCGUUGAAACUGGGGAUCUUGAGUGGGCGAGAGGUAUGCGGAAUGCGUGGUGUAGCGGUGAAAUGCAUAGAUAUCACGCAGAACACCGAUGGCGAAGGCAGCUUACCGGCGCCCGACUGACGCUGAGGCACGAAAGCGUGGGGAUCGAACAGGAUUAGAUACCCCUGUAGUC